rnacentral:rRNA from 1 species
CGCGGCCUAUCAGCUUGUUGGUGAGGUAACGGCUCACCAAGGCAUCGACGGGUAGCUGGUCUGAGAGGAUGAUCAGCCACACUGGGACUGAGACACGGCCCAGACUCCUACGGGAGGCAGCAGUGGGGAAUAUUGCACAAUGGGCGAAAGCCUGAUGCAGCAACGCCGCGUGCGGGAUGAAGGCCCUAGGGUUGUAAACCGCUUUCAGCAGGGAAGAAAAUGACGGUACCUGUAGAAGAAGGUGCGGCCAACUACGUGCCAGCAGCCGCGGUGACACGUAGGCACCAAGCGUUGUCCGGAUUUAUUGGGCGUAAAGAGCUCGUAGGCGGUUCAGUAAGUCGGGUGUGAAAACUCAAGGCUCAACCUUGAGACGCCACUCGAUACUGCUGUGACUUGAGUCCGGUAGAGGAGUGUGGAAUUCCUGGUGUAGCGGUGAAAUGCGCAGAUAUCAGGAGGAACACCAGCGGCGAAGGCGGCACUCUGGGCCGGUACUGACGCUGAGGAGCGAAAGCAUGGGGAGCAAACAGGAUUAGAUACCCUGGUAGUCCAUGCCGUAAACGUUGGGCACUAGGUAUGGGAUCAUAUCAACGGAUUCCGUGCCGUAGCUAACGCAUUAAGUGCCCCGCCUGGGGAGUACGG